AGACAAGCAGCUGCAAGGUAAUCUGUCAAUUUAUCCGUCAACGAAACUUUUACUAGGUUAAAGGAACGUUCGCUUCGAAAAACCACGGUUAUAUAUUCUUCUUUUCCCAAAGGCUGUGACUCGUCGCAUCGCUGGUUCUGUCAGAAGAAGAUGGUGUGUCGUCGUUCAGUCUCGAUUCAAAUGGGCUCGGCGUAUCGCGAUCGCGCGUAUCAGCUUCUGUUUCCACGACGUACGACUCCGUUUCCCAUGAAUAACGCAUUUCCACGGGAAAUCGAUAUGCAGAUUGCGAAGUAUACCCCACGUACAACGUUUCUCUUCUCCAUUUCUCCUGUGCAUCUCUUUCGAAGCACCGCUAGCUACGUGGCCAACGUUGGAUUUGGGUCAGUAGAAAAGCGCAUCUCUGCUGAUUCUCUCGACUCCGCUGUCACGGGAUCUAUCGAUCCAGGGACUCCAAAAAAAAAAAAAAAAGAAAAAAAAGAAAUGAACGGAUGGAACGUACGAUUGUAAGAGCAAUGUGCUACGUGAGCAUUGAAUUGAAUCAUCUUAUUGUUGAUAUACAGAGUGCAGAGGAAUUUUAAAGGAGAGUACAAAACCUUUGCAAACUCUAAUGCCUAUUACGAUUCCUACUUGAAAUGAAAAACCUAAGUGUUUCAGAACGACGAUUCCGUGACGCGUAGCUACUAAAUCCAUGGAAACUUGAUAACGGUUAAAGAGGGCCGGCCAAGUAAAUUCCUUUGAGUAAUUAACGUAUUCCCAAGCUCUGAAGCAGGGAGGAAGGGAAAGAAGAGGGCUGCAGGAGGGUAAAAGCGCGAUUCCAUUUUGCAUGGCGAAUGCUAGAACUUGUCUAGUCUAUGGUUCGUGGUCUUACGUGUGCAACAACAUCUAGUUGUAUCGAAACUGGGUCGCAGUUCCUAGCUUGCUAUCAGAUAUACAGAAUGUUUCAAAAGUAGCGCAUACUAACGAAAACGCUUAUUUAAGAAAAUUUUUGAAAACUUUGCAUUCCGAAACUUAAGGACUUAAGUUUUAGAACUAUUAAAUUUAGAAAUUUUACAAGUCAGUUUUGAAAUUUUGAAACUAUUUUCCUUUCGAUUUUGAGAGUGCAUUUGAACAUUAACAUAGGACAACAGGAGUACUCAAUUUUCAAUUUUAAACCACAAAUUGCAAAAUGGUAGAGAAACUUUCAAUUUUAUUUUUACACGAAGAAAAUAUAGCUUUUAUUUUGGUACACUCUGUAUGUAUGUUUAACAUUCUUCUCAUUGACCCUACGCCAGCUAAAUUCUCGCGAAUAAUUCUGGGCAAACAGCCUCAUUUCAUGUCACGAUACUAGCGAAUCACGCUUUCAACGAAUGCUACUUUUCCCAGGGUUUGUUGGGUAUUUUCGUGACCCAGGAUUUGUAACUCCGUUUGCAAGAGAUUGGAUGCUUUCAAAUUAGAUUUAAGUAGAUUUAAGUGGAUUUUGUAAGGAAGAAUGAAUUGCUACGAAAAUUAUAUUUGAAAAUUUAUAAUU